rnacentral:sRNA from 1 species
AAGUCAGGCAAAAUGUCUGCAUGCAAUCUGCAAGCUGCAUAAUUCGGUAUUACUCAUUCUUGACCACGGAUGUACUGGCACUAAUGAGAAAAUAAUACCAACUGAGGUCAGACAAAUUGUCUGGCCUUUUUUAUU